rnacentral:rRNA from 1 species
AGCAGGCGCGUAAAUUGCCCGAAUCCUGACUCAGGGAGGUAGUGACAAGAAAUAACGAUACAGGGCUACAUCUAGUCUUGUAAUUGGAAUGAGUACAAUUUACAUCUCUUAAUGAUGAUCAAUUGGAGGGCAAGUCUGGUGCCAGCAGCCGCGGUAAUUCCAGCUCCAAUAGCGUAUAUUAAAGUUGUUGCAGUUAGAACGCUCGUAGUCGGAUUUCGGGGCGUUCCGACCGGUCUGCCGAUGGGUAUGCACUGGCCGGAGUGUCCUUUUUGCCGGAGACCGUGCCUACUCUUAACUGAGCGGGGGCGGGAGACGGCACUUUUACUUUGAAAAAAUCAGAGUGUUUCAAGCAGGCAGCUCGCUCUUGCAUGGAUUAGCAUGGGAUAAUGAAAUAGGACUUUGGUGCUAUUUUGUUGGUUUCGAACACCGAAGUAAUGAUGAGAAGGGACAGUCAGGGGCACUCGUAUUCCGCAGAGAGAGGUGAAAUUCUCAGACCCGCGGAAGACGAACCACUGCGAAAGCAUUUGCCAGGGAUGUUUUCACUGAUCAAGAACGAAAGUUAGGGGAUCGAAGAUGAUCAGAUACCGUCGUAGUCUUAACCAAAAACCAUGCCGACUAGGGAUUGGAGGAUGUUCACUGAUUGACUCCUUCAGCACCUUACGGGAAACUAAAGUCUUUGGGUUCCGGGGGGAGUAUGGUCGCAAGGCUGAAACUUAAAGGAGUUGACGGAAGGGCACCACCAGGUGUGGAGCCUGCGGCUUGAUUUGACUCAACACGGGGAAACUUACCAGGUCCAGACAUUGUGAGGAUUGACAGAUUGAGAGCUCUUUCAUGAUUUAAUGGGUGGUGGUGCAUGGCCGUUCUUAGUUGGUGGAGUGAUUUGUCUGGUUAAUUCCGUUAACGAACGAGACCUUAGCCUGCUAAAUAGUGACGCGAACUCUUUGUUGGCGGUCCACUUCUUAGAGGGACAACUUGUCUUCAACAAGUGGAAGUUUGAGGCAAUAACAGGUCUGUGAUGCCCUCAGAUGUUCUGGGCCGCACGCCCGCUACACUGAUGCACUCAACGAGUCUCCACCUUGACCGAGAGGUCCGGGAAACCUUCGAACUUGCAUCGUGAUGGGGAUAGAUUAUUGCAACUAUUAAUCUUCAACGAGGAAUACCUAGUAGGCGCAUGUCAUCAGCGUACGUUGA